rnacentral:lncRNA from 1 species
UGCCAAUUCCUAAAGUAAAAGAAGGUAUCUUAGAGCCAGACAAAGAAAGGGAUUGAGUCACUUCUUUAAAAUGAGAGCAUUCCACUAAAUGAUUUUCAAGAUCCUUUUCCCUUGUAACAAACUAGGUUUGUACUAUUCGAAAAGGGCAAGCAUUGGCAUUACUCAUGAACAUUAUGUGAUACAGUGAAAUGAUCACUAGGCUUAAUUUUGAACUGGGGAUAAUGCUAUCUGUGAUAAUCAACUCUCAGGGUUGCUCUGAAGACUAAAGCCCUGGGAUCAUACAUUUUAAAAGAAAAGAACGGUGACUCAUUAUUUCAAGCUUUUCAAUAUGAAGUAUUACAGUAAAAAGGAUUUCACUAAAAAAAAUCAUCUACCAUACAGACACUAUAGAUGGCUUGGAAAAGACAUUGUAAUAUAAAAGAUAUAUUUUAAAUUGUGUCUAUCCCUGGAACUCUAUUAAAAUUCAAUAUUAAGAAAG